UGAUUUAUUUUGUUCUUUUAGGGUGAAAAACUUUAUACAAAGACUUUGCCUUAUCCCUGCGCAUCAAAGGAAGUUUUUGAACAGAGUAUUCGGAUGCCAAUUGGACCUGAAUUUAAUCCUGUGACAGCAGUUGGAGCUCUUAAUCAUCCUGAGGUGGUAAAGAGAGCUGGUGUGAGCAUCAAACCUAUCCAAUUUCAGGAUGUUAAUCCCCAUGAAAAAGUGGAAAACCGUAAGCGCAAGGGACAAAAACCAAGCAAUGGUAAAGAUAAGAGUUGAUAUAC